AGGAAACAGGGGUACUGACUGUGACACAACAACACUCCACCAAAGAGAAUAAGAAUCUAUGACAAACUAGAAUGUCAAAAAAACUACAAUUAAGACACCAUGGACAUGAAAAUGAUGAAUUCCGUAAUAUACCCGAUACCAGACAUUUCAACCACGGAGAUGAGGAAAACGAUGAAUACUGUGAAAUACCUACCGAUCAUGGAGAUUAUGAAAAUGGUAAGCGUAUUGUAAUAGUUUGUCUGUAUUCACUAACACUGACUGCAUAAACUCUACAUUUUAGUGUUAUUUGUUACUUUAUGUAUUUUAUUUUUAGGAUUUAUGAAUUAAUUUUCUCAAUGUAGUUUGUUAUGUGUGCUU